rnacentral:rRNA from 1 species
AUUGAACGCUGGCGGCAUGCCUUACACAUGCAAGUCGAACGGCAGCACGGGGGCAACCCUGGUGGCGAGUGGCGAACGGGUGAGUAAAGCACCGGAACGUGCCCAGUAGUGGGGGAUAGCUCGGCGAAAGCCGGAUUAAUACCGCAUACGACCUACGGGUGAAAGCGGGGGACCGAAAGGCCUCGCGCUAUUGGAGCGGCCGAUGUCAGAUUAGGUAGUUGGUGGGGCAAAGGCCUACCAAGCCGACGAUCUGUAGCUGGUCUGAGAGGACGACCAGCCACACUGGGACUGAGACACGGCCCAGACUCCUACGGGAGGCAGCAGUGGGGAAUUUUGGACAAUGGGCGAAAGCCUGAUCCAGCCAUGCCGCGUGCGGGAAGAAGGCCUUCGGGUUGUAAACCGCUUUUGUCAGGGAAGAAAUAUUCCGGGCUAAUACCCCGGGAGGAUGACGGUACCUGAAGAAUAAGCACCGGCUAACUACGUGCCAGCAGCCGCCGCCG